GAUCGAUUCUGGAAAAAGGCGGGAUAAGAUGCGUGUGGGUGUCUCGCUGUUGAGGCAGAGAUCGCGAGGGGCUUUACGCGACCGUGGUGCUCGCAACGAGCUCCUUGUAAAAUAAAUUACAUCUCUAAAAAGGAGAGGGCGGGGGGGGAAGGGGAAACUCGGCAUUUACUAAAAUAAGUUAGCGCAUUUAAAAAAAAACUAAUUGCAUUAAAAAAAUGUGACAAUUUUUUGUUGUUGCAAUUAAGCGUUUUGAGGCACCGUUUUCAGUGUAUAGGCAUCGCCUAUAGAAUCAACAGGUAGCGGGCAAUAUCAUCGUUAUUAAUAUCGUUCUUGGCAUCUAUCUCACAAGAAUAUAUUGUGCAUCCUUUAAGCCACAACCUCCCCCUGGGCCGGACGUCUGAGAGAGACAGCGGAAGUCUCAGGAUCCUCCUCAUUUGCUCGGAAGAGGAGGGGAGACGAUGACCGCCGCUCGCCGCGCUGCCAUCCGGGCUCCGCCCCCCACCUCGCCCCCCACGCCCCCUCCUCCGCCUCCGCCCCCCAACGUCAAUCGCACAGCGGGGGGAGACGGCGGCGGGGGGCUCCCCCGCAUCCGGGACAAGUUCAUGAACGAGCUGGGCAGCCUGCCCCGUGCGUGGUGCAUAUACAAACAUUGCCACCUCGGCCACCACCGACCGCCAUCGUCAUUAACACCGUUAUAUAUCGCCAAACUCAUUUAUUUAGCACGGUCACCGCAUCGCGCGCCCUCAAGAUGUUCUUCUGCUGGCCAUCUGGAACGCUG